rnacentral:rRNA from 1 species
GAAACAGUUGCUAAGACUGGAUAGGAAAUAAAAAGGCAUCUUUUUAUUUUUAAAAGACCUUUUUCGGAAGGUAUGCUUAAAGAGGGGCUUGCGUCACAUUAGUUAGUUGGCAGGGUAAAGGCCUACCAAGACUAUGAUGUGUAGCUGGACUGAGAGGUUGAACAGCCACAUUGGGACUGAGACACGGCCCAAACUCCUACGGGAGGCAGCAGUAGGGAAUUUUCGGCAAUGGAGGAAACUCUGACCGAGCAACGCCGCGUGAACGAUGAAGUAUUUCGGUAUGUAAAGUUCUUUUAUUGAAGAAGAAAAAAUAGUGGAAAAACUAUCUUGACGAUAUUCAAUGAAUAAGCCCCGGCAAACUAUGUGCCAGCAGCCGCGGUAAUACAUAGGGGGCGAGCGUUAUCCGGAAUUAUUGGGCGUAAAGGGUGCGUAGGCGGUUUAAUAAGUCUAUAGUUUAAUUUCAGUGCUUAACACUGUCCUGCUAUAGAAACUAUUAGACUAGAGUGAGAUAGAGGCAAGUGGAAUUCCAUGUGUAGCGGUAAAAUGCGUAAAUAUAUGGAGGAACACCAGAGGCGUAGGCGGCUUGCUGGGUCUUUACUGACGCUGAGGCACGAAAGCGUGGGGAGCAAACAGGAUUAGAUACCCUGGUAGUCCACGCCGUAAACGAUGAGUACUAAGUGUCGGGAUUACUCGGUACUGAAGUUAACACAUUAAGUACUCCGCCUGAGUAGUACGUACGCAAGUAUGAAACUUAAAGGAAUUGACGGGACUCCGCACAAGCGGUGGAUCAUGUUGUUUAAUUCGAAGAUACACGAAAAACCUUACCAGGUCUUGACAUACUCUGCAAAGCUAUAGCAAUAUAGUGGAGGUUAUCAGGGAUACAGGUGGUGCAUGGUUGUCGUCAGCUCGUGUCGUGAGAUGUUAGGUUAAGUCCUAAAACGAGCGCAACCCUUGUCAUUAGUUGCCAGCAUGUCAUGAUGGGCACUUUAAUGAGACUGCCAAUGAAAAAUUGGAGGAAGGUGAGGAUCACGUCAAAUCAUCAUGCCCCUUAUGAUCUGGGCUACAAACGUGAUACAAUGGCUGUUACAAAGAGUAGCUGAAACGCAAGUUUAUAGCCAAUCUCAUAAAAGCAGUCUCAGUUCGGAUUGAAGUCUGCAACUCGACUUCAUGAAGUUGGAAUCGCUAGUAAUCGCGAAUCAGCAUGUCGCGGUGAAUACGUUCACGGGGUUUGUACACACCGUGCGUC